AAAGUAAUCAUAAAAAAAGAGAUAAAAACAGUAGAUUCGAAAAAAAUCCAGAUUAAUGGGAUUUAGUUAGACGAGAAUAUUAUGCAGAUCAACGCGAUUAACAGUGAAUAAUGCACUGCAGUCUUUCUUUACUUUUUUAUUAUUUCAGUACUCAAACUAUCAGCGUCUUGGUGAGAAUCCAAUAAAGUCUCCAGAAUUAUGAAAAAACCCAUUACUGUUUGUCAACGUUAUCGCAUUAUUCAAAUGAGUCAUUAGAAGUAACUGUAUAAGUAGGACACCCAAUGUGGGACAUGUUAAAGAGUUCAUUUUGAAUUCCAUGACGCAUGUGAAAUAAUAUUCACUGAUAAUACCGUAUUUUUAU